rnacentral:rRNA from 1 species
AUACGAAAGGUACAAGCGUUGUUCGGAUUUACUGGGCGUAAAGAGAGUGUAGGUGGUUUAUUAAGUCGGAUGUGAAAUCCCGGGGCUCAACCUCGGAACUGCAUUCGAUACUGAUAGGCUAGAGUUUGGGAGGGGUAAGCGGAAUUCCGUGUGUAGCAGUGAAAUGCGUAGAUAUACGGAGGAACACCUGAGGCGAAGGCGGCUUACUGGACCAAUACUGACACUGAGACUCGAAAGCGUGGGUAGCAAACAGGAUUAGAAACCCCAGUAGUCC